rnacentral:rRNA from 1 species
AUAUCAAUAAGCGGAGGAAAAGAAACCAACAGGGAUUGCCUCAGUAACGGCGAGUGAAGCGGCAACAGCUCAAAUUUGAAAUCUGGCCUCUGGCCCGAGUUGUAAUUUGCAGAGGAUGCUUCGGGCGCGGUGCCUUCCAAGUCCCCUGGAACGGGGCGCCGGAGAGGGUGAGAGCCCCGUACGGUUGGCGGCCAAGCCUGUGUGAAGCUCCUUCGACGAGUCGAGUAGUUUGGGAAUGCUGCUCUAAGCGGGAGGUAGACCCCUUCUAAAGCUAAAUACCGGCCAGAGACCGAUAGCGCACAAGUAGAGUGAUCGAAAGAUGAAAAGCACUUUGAAAAGAGGGUUAAACAGCACGUGAAAUUGUUGAAAGGGAAGCGCUUGCGACCAGACGUGCGCCGGGGUGCUCAGCGGGCGUUCUCGCCCGUGCACUCGCCCCGGCGCAGGCCAGCGUCGGUUUGGGUGGGGGGAUAAAGGCGUCUGGAAUGUGGCUCCUCCGGGAGUGUUAUAGCCAGGCGUGCCAUGCCUCCGCCUAGACCGAGGUACGCGUUCUGCAAGGACGCUGGCGUAAUGGUCUCCAGCGA